GACGAACGCUGGCGGCGUGCUUAACACAUGCAAGUCGUACGGUAAGGCCCUUUCGGGGGUACCCGAGUGGCGAACGGGUGCGUAACACGUGAGUAACCUGCCCACAACUUUGGGAUAACGCUAGGAAACUGGUGCUAAUACUGGAUAUGUGCUCCUGCUGCAUGGUGGGGGUUGGAAAGCUCCGGCGGUUGUGGAUGGACUCGCGGCCUAUCAGCUUGUUGGUGGGGUAGUGGCCUACCAAGGCGGCGACGGGUAGCCGGCCUGAGAGGGUGACCGGCCACAUUGGGACUGAGAUACGGCCCAGACUCCUACGGGAGGCAGCAGUGGGGAAUAUUGCACAAGGGGCGCAAGCCUGAUGCAGCAACGCCGCGUGCGGGAUGACGGCCUUCGGGUUGUAAACCGCUUUCAGCAGGGACGAAGCUUUUUGUGACGGUACCUGCAGAAGAAGCACCGGCUAACUACGUG
rnacentral:rRNA from 1 species